rnacentral:rRNA from 1 species
UAUGAGUGCUCCAAGCGUUAUCCGGAAUCAUUGGGCGUAAAGGGUGUGUAGGUUGUCUUAUUAGUCUUCUGUCAAAUUCUUCGGCUCAACCGGGGGUCCGCAGGGGAAACGGUAAGACUUUGGAGGGUGCGAGAGGUCUAUGGAACUCUAGGUGUAGGGGUGAAAUCCGUUGAUAUCUAGGGGAACACCAAAAGCGAAGGCAAUAGACUGGCGCAUUCCUGACACUGAAACACGAAAGCGUGGGUAGCGAAUGGG